rnacentral:misc_RNA from 1 species
UUUCCGUAGGUGAACCUGCGGAAGGAUCAUUAAUGAAAUAACCUGGGUUUAUAUGUCGCAUACUUGCAUACAUUCACACACCUUUCUGCUCUGCUGGAGUGACCGUUUGAUUUGUUUUAUUAGGAUAGACUUAUUUUUUGAUAAAAAUUUUUAAUAGUCAAGAUAGUAUAAUGCAAUGCUCUGGUAUCUCUAAGAUAAACUAAUAAAAAACAAAACUUUUAACAACGGAUCUCUUGGCUCUC